rnacentral:rRNA from 1 species
CCUACGGGAGGCAGCAGUUAGGAAUAUUGGACAAUGGGCGCAAGCCUGAUCCAGCCAUGCCGCGUGUGUGAUGAAGGCCUUAGGGUUGUAAAGCACUUUCGUUGGGGAUGAUAAUGACCGUACCCAAAGAAGAAGCACCGGCUAACUUCGUGCCAGCAGCCGCGGUAAUACGAAGGGUGCAAGCGUUGUUCGGAAUCACUGGGCGUAAAGAAUGCGUAGGCGGCUUGACAAGUCAGGAGUGAAAUCCCCAGGCUCAACCUGGGAACUGCUUUUGAAACUGUCUUGCUAGAGUCCCGGAGGGGUUGGCGGAAUUCCGAGUGUAGAGGUGAAAUUCGCAGAUAUUCGGAGGAACACCAGUGGCGUAGGCGGCCAACUGGACGGGAACUGACGCUGAGGCAUGAAAGUGUGGGGAGCAAACAGGAUUAGAUACCCUGGUAGUCCACACCGUAAACGAUGUGUGCUAGUUGUUGGGCAGCUUUGCUGUUCAGUGACGCAGCUAACGUAUUAAGCACACCGCCUGGGAAGUACGGCCGCAAGGUUAAAACUCAAAGGAAUUGACGG